AAAUUCCUGUGUUUCACUCAAAGGUUAGUACUAAAUAUAUCUGAUAAUCAUUUUUGAAGAUUUCCCUCCCCUUUUUUCUCCGCAAUUUUAUCCUAUUGAUAAGUUGGAGAUUUGGCAACAUUUUUACCUUUUUUUGAUUCAUUAUUUUCUGGCAUUCUCAGCUUAUUUAACUAAUUUUUGAUUGAUUAGAAUCUGUUUCGUUCAUUUGCAUUCUCGAUUUAGCUAAGUUAUAUUCAAUUAAUAUGCAUUUCUCCUGGUUCCAUAGAGAUAGAAGUGUGCAAUGUGCGCUAUUAGGACAGAGCUUAUAUGAGCAUUUUUUUGUGUCUUUGUGCUCGACUCACUGGCUAAGAUUGUGCAUAUACAAGGUCACCACACCUGUUUUGUUGAACCUCUAUCCACAUUCACAGGUACAUCGAGUUUAUUGUUAACUUGUUCCUCAUAAGACUAGAAAAAGAGCUUGCUUGAUCAGAUUUCUCUUCAAGUGUUAUAGCAGCUGCAUCACAAGUUUGAUGAAACUUUUCAAAUAUGAUUGAAUCCGCCAAUGUUCUUUAUUUGUUUCUAAAGUGAAGGCUGCAAAAGUUACCUGACCUGAAGGAGAAGUGAGUUUCUUUUCUGAAAUAUCAUUAUAUGUUCACGUAGGAGAAGUAAACUAUUGAUGGUUGACUUGUGAUUGGUGAUAGUUCAUAGUUCAGUGAUGAAAUUCAAAUAUCGAAUACUUAAGCUGGGAUUUUGAUCAUUGACUGUUUGUUUCUCAUUUCUUGCACAAUGAUUGUUUGGUAGUUCCCUAUUAAUGAAAUAAUAGUGUAUAUGAACUUGCAGGGAUUUUAUUGUGAAUUAUAAUCUUCCAAACUACUUAUUUUGGCUUAUCCGGGAGGUGAUGGAUAGAUGUGAAAAAGGAAAGUUAGUGUAUGACUCAUGUUGGAUGGAAUUAUCAAUAUUACAAACGGUUGCAAAACACUUUCAAAGUUAUUCAUUUAUAAUUAUUUUUCACAAUUAUAUCAAGUAAAAACAUCUUUUGCUAAGUUUUUUUGGCAGAGUCCAUGCAAACAUGCCUUCGAUUUAGAUUGUGUCACGAGGAGUUCUCUCUGCUUACUGUAAGAGUAAUUACAGAAAGAAAGAGGCAAUGUAUUAAGAAUGUAUCCAGUGCCACUUCAAUCAAGAGUUUACUCUAACUACUACCAUGUCAUGGGAGAUGAAAACUCACCAAGGAUUUGAUUCCUUUGUGAUUCAAAUAUCUUUGGUAUACUAACUAAUUAGUACUGUUGGAUAUCCUUGAUCACGUAUAAUUAUGUUGUUGAGUGAGGCAAGUGAUCAAGAAAAACAAUCAAAUUCCAGAAACAGAACAAGGAGGAGCAAAACCAUGAAAAAGCUAAAAAUCAUUCAAAUUCCAGAAACAUAACAAGGAGGAGGAGGCCAAACCAUGAAAAAUGAUUGAUUUCAGAUUCUCUAAUUUUCAAGACUUAAGGAAAUAACAAAUGGUAAUGUCUGGGUACAGAAGAGUAGAUAUGUAGAAAAUGUUGGAAAUUUGAUGCUCUCCAAAGUACAUUAGAUAGUCCAGAUGUGUUGGUUGACACAUUAAUAGUAAUGUCUGUAAAUGCAGGUUGUUUCCAACAACUUUGAGCAUUCUCCCUUUC